UCCGAGUUGACCCCGGCAGUCUUCGAUGAGUCCCCGCCAUAACGCGCUGGCAACAUCGAACGAGGGUUGCGCUCGUUGCGGGACUUAACCCAACAUCUCACGACAUGAGCUGACGACAGCCAUGCACCACCUGUACACCAACCACAAGGGAAACCCCAUCUCUGAGGCAAUCUGGCGCAUGUCAAGCCCAGGUAAGGUUCUUCGCAUUGCAUCGAAUUAAUCCACAUGCUCCGCCGCUUGUGCGGGCCCCCGUCAAUUCCUUUGAGUUUUAGCCUUGCGGCCGUACUCCCCAGGCGGGGCGCUUAAUGCGUUAGCUACGGCACGGACAACGUGAACAUCGCCCACACCUAGCGCCCAACGUUUACAGCGUGGACUAC
rnacentral:misc_RNA from 1 species